rnacentral:rRNA from 1 species
UACGUAGGGUGCGAGCGUUGUCCGGAAUUACUGGGCGUAAAGAGCUCGUAGGUGGUUUGUCGCGUUGUUCGUGAAAACUCACAGCUCAACUGUGGGCGUGCGGGCGAUACGGGCAGACUGGAGUACUGCAGGGGAGACUGGAAUUCCUGGUGUAGCGGUGGAAUGACGCCAGGAUAUCAGGAGGAACACCGGUGGCGAAGGCGGGUCUCUGGGCAGUAACUGACGCUGGAGGAGCGAAAGCGUGGGAGCGAACAGG